rnacentral:rRNA from 1 species
AGAGAGAGACAUGCGCGCAUAUCAAUAAGCGGAGGAAAAGAAACUAACAAGGAUUCCCCUAGUAACGGCGAGUGAAGCGGGAAGAGCUCAAAUUUGAAAUCUUAAAGGGUUUCCCUUUACGAAUUGUAGUUUAAAGAAGUGUUUUCUGUUGAGGUUUUGGUAAAAGUUCUUUGGAAUAGGACAUCAUAGAGGGUGAGAAUCCCGUAUUUGACCUUUACUUUCAACUUUGUGAUACACUUUCAAAGAGUCGGAUUGUUUGGGAAUGCAGUCCAAAAUGGGUGGUAAAUUUCAUCUAAAGCUAAAUAUUGGCGAGAGACCGAUAGCGAACAAGUACCGUGAGGGAAAGAUGAAAAGAACUUUGAAAAGAGAGUUAAACAGUACGUGAAAUUGUCAAAAGGGAAGCGUUUGACACCAGUGUUGUUUUUCUGAAAAUCAAUUAAAGAACUGUUUAUGCUAAGUUGUUUAGACUUUAUCAGCUAACUGUUUAGUUUUGAGCUUUUCUUUAAUGCACUUUUCAGUUAACAAGUCAACAGUCAAUUUCUUUUGCUGUAAAAAAGCUUGAGGAAGGUGGCUUGAGAUUCGUCUUAAGUGUUUAUAGCCUCUUGCCUAUGCAGUCGGAGAGAUUGAGGUCUGCAGCGUAGAUCCUUCGGGGCUAAAUGCAUUUGUGCUAAGUUAUAGCAUUUUAUAGACAACUUGUUGACUAUGAUUUGUCUUGUAGCUUACUCGCUUAUGUUAUUUUACCUACGCUUAGGAUGUUGACGCAUGAGAUAUACGC